rnacentral:lncRNA from 1 species
UCUAAGUGAAAAUAAUACAAAGGCAUUCUCCAAGUCUCUCUCUUACUUUGUGAGCUUUGUGAGUGUUCCUUGCUCUCCUAGCAAGAGUUAGGCUGACUUAGCACUUUGUUGAGGGGUAAAGUGUCUAAAUGUCGCACGGGUUAAGGUGUGAAUUCAUAGGCCCGUGACAAGCAGUUAUCCUCUAUGUUGUGAAACUAUUACCUGAACGAAACACAAAACGAAGAAACCUGGAAGAAACACAAGGUUCCAUAUAUUCAUGAAGCUGAUGAAUCUUUACUACUUAUAGAUCAUAUAUGGGAUAUUCUUCAUAGAAUUUCAUCGAUUAUCGCAGUUGAACACUUCUAAAGGCAACUAAACAAUGAUUUGUGAAUCUUAAAUCAUCUACCUGCUUUAUGUACAAUCAUCCCGUUUUGAGUGUUGUCGACAUUCUGGAUCUCCUCUAAAGAUUCAUGAAGAUUAUUACUCAUUGCUUGAAUUAGUUCCAAAGCUUCUCAUCUCGUAGAGUUCUUUUCUUCGUCAGCUCUAUUAAUAUCUGGAAAGAUUAAUUGUAACAACACAAACUCGGAUCAUAUCACAUACGAAGAGAGAUCAAGACUGUAUUAGCCAAGAAAACCUAAUUGAAGGUGAAAUAUGAGAUUUGAAUUUACAGAAACUAGUAUUUUAAUCUACA